rnacentral:rRNA from 1 species
GGCAGCAGUGAGGAAUUUUCUGCAAUGGGCGAAAGCCUCACAGAGCAAUACCGCGUGAGGGAUGAAGGCCUAUGGGUUGUAAACCUCUUUACCCAGGGAAGAAGAUCUGACGUUACUUGGGGAAUAAGCAUCGGCUAACCCUGUGCCAGCAGCCGCGGUAAUACAGGGGAUGCAAGUGUUAUCCGGAAUUAUUGGGCGUAAAGCGUGUGCAGGUGGAUUUAUAAGUCUUUUGUUAAAUCUUUGAGCUUAACUCAAAAUCGGCAAAACAAACUAUUUAUCUUGAGUAUGGUAGAGGUAAAGGGAAUUUCCAGUGGAGCGGUGAAAUGCGUAGAUAUUGGAAAGAACACCAACAGCGAAGGCACUUUACUGGGCCAUUACUGACACUCACAGACGAAAGCUAGGGGAGCAAACGGGAUUAGAUACCCCGGUAGUCCUAGCCGUAAACGAUGGAUACUACAUGUUGUGUACUUUAGGUAUGCAGUGUCGUAGCUAACGCGUUAAGUAUCCCGCCUGGGAAGUAUGCUCGCUAGAGUGAA